GCUUAGACCAUAUAGGCUCAAAGGAGAACGAAUGACGAAAGCCUUGGUGUCUGCCAAGAGUGAGGAAGAGGGUGGCCUUAUCCCCUCCCCACUUUUUCUUCGAUUGUUCUCGGGGCUGCACUCCCUUGGCGGCCCGCUUGAAUCUCUCACAAGCAUCCUAUGGCAAUAAACUCACUCUCCACCUCUUUGCCUCACACUGAGCUCUUUCUGUGAUGAGACAAAAGAACCUGAGCUUCAGUAAGUCCUGGCACCAGGAAAAAGGCGUUGUGGUUGCGGACCAGCGGCUGGAAGCCAGACACGCCGGGUGCUGCCUCUUGCUACCCUCUCGGUCCGCAUCACCUCCACCCGACAGAACAGGAUGCAGAGGCUCAGAAGCUGCGACAUCCAGUCACCCAGCACGGCAGUGACGCCGCGUGCCAGCAAACCCCGGCCCUCCCUGCCUCCCAGCCUUGGUGCCUUUCUCGGCACAAGGCUGUAAAGUGAUGACAUGAAGGUGGACUAUGUCCCGGGAGCGGGUCUGUGCGAUCCCGUCCCCACACCACACCUCCGCCCCCUCCUCUACCUGGCUGACUCCUCGCCGUCCUUGGACACCCAGCUUGAGGGCCCUCGCCUGCAGGCAGUCUGCCUGAUCUCCAGCCUGUUUCAGAACCCCCGGGGGCCUGUGCUUGGGCAACCAGGGUUCUUACGCUUCAGGUUGUAGCAGAUCCUUGUCAGUCUCCUCCUGCACUAGGGCGCCCAGGGGCCAAGAACUGAUGGCCACCCCGCCCCAGAAAAAAUAAAUAGAUUUAAUAAAUUGCAAGAUCAUCUGUAACUGCUCCCAAAACAGUGGCAUCCUGCAGGCAAGAGCCCACUAAAAAAGUCUUCUAGCAGGCGCCUCUGCUUCACCCACUCCCCACAGCCCCAUGACCCCUUGACCUUCAUCUGUCACCUCGUGACUCAGUGUGGUCCCUGGAUCAGCAGCGUCAGUACCAAGGGCUUGUUGGAAAGGCAGAAGCUCAGACAACCCAGACCCCCGGCACAAAGCAGGGCUUCAUUAACAUCAGCUCUUGUUAUAGGAUUGGAACCUUGCUCUAAAGCCUACUAUGUAGCACCCAUCAUGCCCAUUCCUAGUUGGGGAGCUGGGCUUCAUGGAGGGGAAAUGACUUUCUCCAGGUUUAACAGCCAGGACAUGAUAGACGCGGGUUUCAAACCUAGGGUUCGUGGCUCUCUCAAGCUGAUGGAAGUUAGUGCUGAUAUUCCACAUGGUGGAAAGAGAUAGGAAAUCUCCGUCUAUCAAGCAUGCACUCCUUGCAAAGCCCUUUGCCUGGCUCAUCUCUUGUGAUCUUCCCGACCCCUUUAUGAAGUAGGGGGGUAGGCAGUCUCAUUUUACAG
ensembl:lncRNA